rnacentral:rRNA from 1 species
GUAAAGGAAAAUAAUGAUAUUACUUUACUAUUAGUGUCGUCCAAGUGCUCGUGCCAGAAGACUCGGUAAGGCGAGAGACGCAAACGUUAUUCGUCUUGAUCAGGCGUAAAGGGUUUGUAGGCUGCUUUAAGUACCUAAAUUUAAGUUUACUAUUAUAAAAUUACUGUUGUAGUAUUAUAAUAUUUAAAAAAGGGUCAAUUAAAGCUAGAAUCUAAAAGAGGUUAAAACAAUGCUUGAUAUACAGGUGUACUAACCGAAAACAACAAGUAGAGUGUUAAGGGCGAAGGCUUUUAUCCAAUAAAGAUUGACGCUGAGAAACGAAGGUGAGGACAGAAAAAAGGAUUAGAGACCCUUGUAUCCCUCACUGUCAACGAUGAAUGGUAGUUACUAGGUAGAAGAUGACCUAGAGACGAUGUUAACACGAAAACCAUUCCGCCUUGUGAGUACGACUGCAAAGUUGAAAACAAAAAAAUUAGUCGGUUUCGGAGCAAACGAAGUGAAGCAUGUUAUUUA